rnacentral:rRNA from 1 species
AUGUUAAAUCAGCCCUGUCCAAAGCAUGGAUCAAAGGAGAAGCCAGCGUCGCAUCUUUGGAAGGCCUAUUAUAUCAUGCGGGAUUUCAAGAAUUCCAAUAUGUUCCAGUAUGAUAAUGGCCCGCUCGGCAGUUCAGGAGGUGGUUUCCACGGGCCGGGUUAUGGAGGUGGUGGUUCCAGUUCAGGGUUUCAAGGCAACCAAACCGGACACAUCAAUCAAGGGCACCAAGGCAACCAGGGAGGUUACAACCAUCAAGGGAAUCAGCAGCAACAGCAGCAGUCGGGUUACCAGAGCAAUCCCAAGCAGCUAACUAGCGGGCAAUAUCAUGUUUUCACUACUAGUUUGUGUAAGCGUGAUCAGAAGAUUCACAAAAGGGUGGUAAACUCUAUUGAACCGGCAGUGCCUCAGUAUUUACGCUGGUCUGAGCAACCCAUUUUAUGGAGUAGAGAGGAUCACCCACCCCGGGUUGAUAAUCCGGGUCACUUGGCCCUGGUGGUAGCCCCGCAAGUUGGGGGUUACAAGUUUACUAAAGUGCUCAUGGAUGGGGGAAGCAGUAUCAACAUUCUAUAUUAUGACACAUUCCGCCGUAUGGGGUUGACAGAUAAGAAUCUUAAACCAUCAAAUAUGGUCUUUCAUGGGGUGGUGCCUGGUAAGUCUGCAUAUCCUGUUGGCAAGAUAGCCUUAGAGGUAGCUUUUGGAGAUGAUUAUGACUCAAGGUCAGAAACAUUGACGUUUGAGGUGGUAAAGAUCAAAAGUCCGUACCACGCCUUGUUUGGACGGCCGGCUUAUGCUAAAUUCAUGGCGAGGCCAUGCUAUGUUUAUCUACAGCUUAAAAUGCUAGGUCAUAAGGGGACUAUCACAGUACAUGGAAGCAGAAAUAUCGCUUUGGAGUGUGAGGAAGGUGAUGCGGAUUAUGCUGAGUCGGUUUGUGCCACGGAAGAAUUGAAAUUUUAUAAGGAGCAAGUUGAUCCAACAGAUAUGACCUCUUUGAAAAAGCCGACUACAAAGCAUGAUCCGGCGUUGAAGUUCAAAUCGGCUACAAAUACUAAGAUGGUUGACUUUGUUCCUGACGAUUCAUCCAAACAGUUCAGCAUCAGUGAUAACCUGGAUCCCAAAUAG